GUGCCAUCAGCCUGGUCUCAGGUGUCCUCUUUCUUCACCAUCACCACUUACCAUGGGCCCAGGUCCCUAGACCCAAGGAGGUUCAACCUCAAGUGGCGCCGUCGAGCAGGGACCCUGCGCCCCCCCUGGCAGUCGAGACAGCACCCCAUCCAGUGUGGGUUCCCGCUCGAGAUGUCCGACCGGCCACAGCCACCGAUAUCAGAGAUGCAACAACUGACCCUUGGCGACAGCCAAGAGUCCAACCAACCACAGCCACCGAUAUCAGAGAUACAGCAGCCGACCCCAGACAACAGGCAUCCAGGGGGCAGACCAACACGACGUAGAAGACGACACCGAGUUACAGCCCCUCCAGCUUCCCCUGUAACAUGGGAAGCCCUCAAAGAGCUUUGUAACAAUGCCUACAAUGUGCUCCCGCCUGAAGAAAUAAUGCCUGCUCAACUGUUCCUGAUGAUCUUGACCUCAUCAACAAUGAAAUUCAAGACCUCUGACACGUUGCUACCACUGCCUGUGACCAACGCUUUACAGCGACUUUACUUUGCGAUACGACAAAACCAGCCAACCUCUCUUCUGCUCGUCUUUUGCUCCAUGAGUGGAUCCUUGGCCCUUAUAACAGCACCUACUUCAACCUCUCCAUUCAACUGACUGAACAAAUACAAACUAUAAACUCUAUCCAAGUGCCUAUUUUAACGGACAAUGUCCUCUCCGAUCUUCUACAUAACCUACGGCUCCUAUUCUCACCAGCCAAUUUGCUUACCUUUGGAUUCUUUGGACUUUUAGGACUUCUAAUUCUAAUUGCACUUCAUAUAUUAUGUACCCUUUUACAACUAAUAACCUCUAAGCAGGCUAUGAUGGCUUCAAUUCAAUUGGCUUUUACAAAAAAAGAGGGGGAAUUCGUGGGAAAGAGAGGUCCAGAGGUCUGGGUGACAGCUGCGGCAGAAAGGCGAGUCUGAGCAAACUCAGACUCCUCGGCAAACCGAGUAAAAGCCCCACCUAGGCUGUCCCGCUCUGACCUCUUGCUUCCACACAACCCCCGGCGAAAAGUACCCUCUCCAAACUAUGCCCCUGACCCGCCUCCAUUGCCACGCCUGUAGCCAACUCUACAAAUGCCUGCUACAGCCGCAAUAAAGUAGAUAUGUGCCAUCAGCCUGGUCUCAGGUGUCCUCUUUCUUCACUGUCGCCAUUUACACGGGAAAAGGUCCCUA
rnacentral:lncRNA from 1 species